AGUGAACGCUGGCGGUAGGCCUAACACAUGCAAGUCGAACGGCAGCACAGUAAGAGCUUGCUCUUACGGGUGGCGAGUGGCGGACGGGUGAGGAAUACAUCGGAAUCUACUUUUUCGUGGGGGAUAACGUAGGGAAACUUACGCUAAUACCGCAUACGACCUACGGGUGAAAGCAGGGGAUCUUCGGACCUUUCGCGAUUGAAUGAGCCGAUGUCGGAUUAGCUAGUUGGCGGGGUAAAGGCCCACCAAGGCGACGAUCCGUAGCUGGUCUGAGAGGAUGAUCAGCCAAACUGGAACUGAGACACGGUCCAGACUCCUACGGGAGGCAGCAGUGGGGAAUAUUGGACAAUGGGCGCAAGCCUGAUCCAGCCAUACCGCGUGGGUGAAGAAGGCCUUCGGGUUGUAAAGCCCUUUUGUUGGGAAAGAAGAGCAGCAGGUUAAUACCCCGCUGUUCUGACGGUACCCAAAGAAUAAGCACCGGCUAACUUCGUG
rnacentral:rRNA from 1 species